rnacentral:rRNA from 1 species
GCAGUAGCCGCGGUAAUACAGAGGGUGCGAGCGUUAAUCGGAUUUACUGGGCGUAAAGCGUGCGUAGGCGGCUUCUUAAGUCGGAUGUGAAAUCCCUGAGCUUAACUUAGGAAUUGCAUUCGAUACUGGGAAGCUAGAGUAUGGGAGAGGAUGGUAGAAUUCCAGGUGUAGCGGUGAAAUGCGUAGAGAUCUGGAGGAAUACCGAUGGCGAAGGCAGCCAUCUGGCCUAAUACUGACGCUGAGGUACGAAAGCAUGGGGAGCAAACAGGAUUAGAGACCCCUGUAGUCCCUGUCUCUUAUAC